UGAACUUGUGUGUGGGUGUGUGUGUGUGUGUGAACUUGUGUGUGGGUGGCCGCCUUGGAGGUGUUCAUUCUUCACUGGAACAGAAAAGGUGUGUGUGCGUGUGUGUGUGUGUGUGUGUGUGUGUGUGUGUGUGUGUGUGUGGGUGGGGGCAGAAAUGUUCUGAUCGCCUUGGAGGUGUUCAUUCUUCAUUGCUUUUUCCCCCUUUUAUCUUUCAUUAUUUGUAAAGCCUCUCUAACCUUCUGUAACUGAAUGGAAAGAAAUGGUGGGAGAGAUGACAAUGUACACUGAGAUUUGUCAGAGCGUUCUUUGGGUGAAAGGGGCUUUCAUGUUUGUAUUUACAUAGCAGCGAAUCAGCAGCUUGUCUAUGUCGGUUUGACAUUUUGAUGAUUCUCGUAAAGUCCUUUAUUAGUUGUUAACAACAUGUGGAAAUGUAUUUGCUUACUUACAAAAGUAACCUCUAUCUGUAUGACAUUUGAGCUAAUUCUGUUUGGGCUAUGAUAAUGUGUAAGAAAAAGAAUACGGAAAAAAAAAAGCUUUCUAAUGAACGCGUGGGAGUGAGGAGCCCGGUCUGAGCAAAGCUAAUCUCACCGCACGUUGGGGGUGAGACACGUCUCUGGCUGCCUGAGAGCACUAAGGCCCCAUAGCACAGGAAACCACAAAGGUACAGCAAACGGAGAAACACACACACACUUCCCCUGCGGAUGAAAAGCUCUGCACACACACAGACACACCUGCCCUUGGCACAUUCUCCUGAUCCUUACGAUUUUCUCAGGUUUGAAAGCAAAAAUGACGGCCUGAGUCACACUGCUAGCUUUUAAACAAAGCCUACGACUUUUUCCACCUCAGGAAAAAAUUAAAUAAAAACAUAUACAACCAAUUUUUGUUUUUGUGUCUGUUUGCUAGUGUCGAGUAGCCCUAAAAACAGGAAAUGCUAUACGACCAUGUGCUCUGUUGAAAGUCCAGGCUGAUUUCAAACAAGAAACCAAUCCCAAAUUAUUUUUCAUUGUUUCUAACCCCUGACCGAUUGUUUUUGCUCAAACUCCCGUGCAGACAGACUGAGCGGUCUCCUCCCUUUGGCUUGUACAGGCAGCUCACACCAGUUGGAUCAGUUUCUGAACACUACACUUGCCAGGCAGGAAUCAGAAGUGGGUCUACCGGUCCUGUUGGUACGCAGUGACAGAAGCUCACUAGGUCUAGGGCUAAUGAACUUUGUCUUCGGUUAUCGUCGCCAGGCUGUGACACCGUGAUCUUUCCCACAUGUGCAUCGAUGCUCAUUCAUUAAUCCUAUCCUAUCUGAAGUCAUAAUGCAGAACAGUAAAUAGUCUGUACAAACUCCAAAUGCAUCCAGCGACCUACGGUCCUCUAGCCGAUGUCCUGCCGCUCAGCUGCUAGGUCAAAGUCAUGAUGGCAGGUUGACUCCCCUGGGCUGAGAGUUGCUCUUGAUAGGGAAGUAAAUGCAUUUGUUAGUGAGAAGUGAGAAAGGGCCAAAAUGUACAGUCUCUCUCCAGAACAGACUAGUGCAGAACAGGCUAAUCCAGAACAGGCUAGUGCAGAACAGGCUAAUCCAGAACAGGAGGUCCUUUUUCCCAGCUGCCAUAAAACUAUGACUAUAUGACUA
ensembl:lncRNA